CCCUUAGAUGUCCGGGGCCGCACGCGCGCUACACUGAUGCAUUCAGCGAGUUUCUUCCUGGUCCGAGAGGAAUGGGUAACCUUUUGAAAGUGCAUCGUGAUAGGGAUAGACUAUUGCAAUUAUUGGUCUUCAACGAGGAAUUCCUAGUAGACGUAGUUCAUCAGACUGCAUCGAUUACGUCCCUGCCCUUUGUACACACCGCCCGUCGCUCCUACCGAUUGAAUGCUCAGGUGAGCCAUUCGGACUUUCAUCAUGCUGGUUUCCAGUUUUGAUGAAGGAAAGUCUUGCGAACCUUAUCAUUUAGAGGAAGGAGAAGUCGUAACA
rnacentral:rRNA from 1 species